AUAAGAGGUCCUGCCUGCCCUGUGACUAUAAGUUUAACGGCCGCGGUAUUUUGACCGUGCAAAGGUAGCGCAAUCACUUGUCUUUUAAAUGAAGACCCGUAUGAAUGGCAAAACGAGGGCUUAACUGUCUCCUUUUUCCUGUCAAUGAAAUUGAUCUCCCCGUGCAGAAGCGGGGAUACUAACAUAAGACGAGAAGACCCUAUGGAGCUUUAGGCUCCAGAACAGACUAUGUUAAAACCACCAGCACAAAGGACAAAACUAAUUAACCCCUGUUCUAAUGCCUUCGGUUGGGGCGACCGCGGGGAAACGAAAAACCCCCAUGUGGACAAAGAGUAUGCCUACUCCUAUAACCAAGAGCCACUGCUCUAAGCAUCAGAACUUCUGACCAAAAAGACCCGGCACAGCCGAUCAACGAACCAAGUUACCCUAGGGAUAACAGCGCAAUCCCCUUUUAGAGUCCAUAUCGACAAGGGGGUUUACGACCUCGAUGUUGGAUCAGGACAUCCUAUUGGUGCAGCCGCUAUUAAGGGUUCGUUUGUUCAACGAUU
rnacentral:rRNA from 1 species